rnacentral:lncRNA from 1 species
UUCGGUCUCCUUUGAUAUAUCCUCCAUUUAAUUGAGUUAUACAAGCAACAUUUUCUUCAUACAAUAUUGUUGGAGCCUUUGUUUGCACAGAAAGACCGCAUAAUUGCAAAAUGUGUUGAGUCAUUGAUCUCAACCAUACACACUCUCGACUUGCUCCAUGAAUGACUAUUAUCUCUGCAUGAUUUGAAGAAGUAGCAACUAUUGUUUGCUUCAUCGAACGUCAUGAUAUAGUUGUAUUUUCAUAUGUGAAUAGCCUGU